rnacentral:rRNA from 1 species
UGCAGUCGAGCGGUAACACAGAGGAGCUUGCUCCUUGGGUGACGAGCGGCGGACGGGUGAGUAAAGUCUGGGGAUCUGCCUGAUGGAGGGGGAUAACUACUGGAAACGGUAGCUAAUACCGCAUGACGUCUUCGGACCAAAGUGGGGGACCUUCGGGCCUCACGCCAUGAGAUGAACCCAGAUGGGAUUAGCUGGUAGGUGAGGUAACGGCUCACCUAGGCGACGAUCCCUAGCUGGUCUGAGAGGAUGACCAGCCACACUGGAACUGAGACACGGUCCAGACUCCUACGGGAGGCAGCAGUGGGGAAUAUUGCACAAUGGGGGAAACCCUGAUGCAGCCAUGCCGCGUGUGUGAAGAAGGCCUUCGGGUUGUAAAGCACUUUCAGCGGGGAGGAAGGCAAUAAACUUAAUAAGUUUGUUGAUUGACGUUACCCGCAGAAGAAGCACCGGCUAACUCCGUGCCAGCAGCCGCGGUAAUACGGAGGGUGCAAGCGUUAAUCGGAAUGACUGGGCGUAAAGCGCACGCAGGCGGUCUGUUAAGUUGGAUGUGAAAUCCCCGGGCUCAACCCGGGAACAGCAUUCAAAACUGACAGGCUAGAGUCUCGUAGAGGGGGGUAGAAUUCCAGGUGUAGCGGUGAAAUGCGUAGAGAUCUGGAGGAAUACCGGUGGCGAAGGCGGCCCCCUGGACGAAGACUGACGCUCAGGUGCGAAAGCGUGGGGAGCAAACAGGAUUAGAUACCCUGGUAGUCCACGCCGUAAACGAUGUCGACUUGGAGGCUGUGGUCUUGAACCGUGGCUUCCGGAGCUAACGCGUUAAGUCGACCGCCUGGGGAGUACGGCCGCAAGGUUAAAACUCAAAUGAAUUGACGGGGGCCCGCACAAGCGGUGGAGCAUGUGGUUUAAUUCGAUGCAACGCGAAGAACCUUACCUACUCUUGACAUCCAGAGAAGACUGUAGAAGAUACGGUUGUGCCUUCGGGAGCUCUGAGACAGGUGCUGCAUGGCUGUCGUCAGCUCGUGUUGUGAAAUGUUGGGUUAAGUCCCGCAACGAGCGCAACCCUUAUCCUUUGUUGCCAGCGAUACGGUCGGGAACUCAAAGGAGACUGCCGGUGAUAAACCGGAGGAAGGUGGGGAUGACGUCAAGUCAUCAUGGCCCUUACGAGUAGGGCUACACACGUGCUACAAUGGCGCAUACAAAGAGAAGCGAGCCUGCGAGGGUGAGCGGACCUCAUAAAGUGCGUCGUAGUCCGGAUUGGAGUCUGCAACUCGACUCCAUGAAGUCGGAAUCGCUAGUAAUCGUAGAUCAGAAUGCUACGGUGAAUACGUUCCCGGGCCUUGUACACACCGCCCGUCACACCAUGGGAGUGGGUUGCAAAAGAAGUAGGUAGC